rnacentral:rRNA from 1 species
UUGAACGCUGGCGGCAGGCCUAACACAUGCAAGUCGAGCGGAUGAAGGGAGCUUGCUCCUGGAUUCAGCGGCGGACGGGUGAGUAAUGCCUAGGAAUCUGCCUGGUAGUGGGGGAUAACGUCCGGAAACGGGCGCUAAUACCGCAUACGUCCUGAGGGAGAAAGUGGGGGAUCUUCGGACCUCACGCUAUCAGAUGAGCCUAGGUCGGAUUUGCUAGUUGGUGGGGUAAAGGCCUACCAAGGCGACGAUCCGUAACUGGUCUGAGAGGAUGAUCAGUCACACUGGAACUGAGACACGGUCCAGACUCCUACGGGAGGCAGCAGUGGGGAAUAUUGGACAAUGGGCGAAAGCCUGAUCCAGCCAUGCCGCGUGUGUGAAGAAGGUCUUCGGAUUGUAAAGCACUUUAAGUUGGGAGGAAGGGCAGUAAGUUAAUACCUUGCUGUUUUGACGUUACCAACAGAAUAAGCACCGGCUAACUUCGUG